rnacentral:rRNA from 1 species
GACGAACGCUGGCGGCGUGCUUAACACAUGCAAGUCGAACGGGAUCCAUGAGAGCUUGCUCUCGGAAGAUCUAGUGGCGAACGGGUGAGUAACACGUGAGGAACCUGCCCUUCACUGGGGAAUAACUCGGGGAAACUCGAGCUAAUACCGCAUACCUUCCACUGGUCGCAUGGCCGGCAGAAGAAAGAUUUAUCGGUGAUGGAGGGCCUCGCGGCCUAUCAGCUUGUUGGUGGGGUAACGGCCCACCAAGGCAACGACGGGUAGCUGGUCUGAGAGGACGAUCAGCCACACUGGAACUGAGACACGGUCCAGACUCCUACGGGAGGCAGCAGUGGGGAAUCUUGCGCAAUGGGCGAAAGCCUGACGCAGCAACGCCGCGUGCGGGAUGACAGCCUUCGUGGUUGUAAACCGCUUUCAGCAGGGACGAAAAUGACGGUACCUGCAGAAGAAGCUCCGGCUAACUACGUGCCAGCCGCCGCCGUAA